GCCGUAGAACAAACCGUUCGCGACGCACUUUUAAAAGACCCAGGUAACUGGCUGAUGGUUCACUGGAAUGCUGACUGCUGCUGGCUGACUUGCUGCUGGUUGACUGGGCUGUGUCACCUGUCCCUGUCUCUCCUCUCUAGCCAUGUCCUUUUUCUUCACUCUCACUUUACCUUCUCUGAGUAUCCUCGUUCUGUUUUCCUCAACCUUUGAAACUGAUAGAGGUCUAGGGGUGCAUCGUGGAGCAGGGCCCUCCUCUUUUUGACCACAGGACGAUGUACAAAGAUUGUGGGAAUAGCAUCUGACCUCAGCCUACUCUUGAAUUUUUUGGUCAUGACAAAUUGCUUUGCCGCAAUUUGUCUGCAUACUGACUUCAGUUUAGUUUACACACACACCUUUUUUUUUGUCUACCCACAUACAGUACAUAUCACAUGGUGGUUAAAUGCACAGUUAUAGGUAACACUGAUGACUCCCUGCAAUGUCUCACCAUGAGUCUCCCCUCCCUGGGUUUUGCAAGGCUUUGCUUGUUCCUUAUUUCUAGUAAAACAUUGUCAAUGUAAAAAAGUGCAAAUAAAUUUAAGUAUAAUUACCUAACAAUUUUUUGUUGUUGUAAUUUUUAUUAGUUUUUAGAUUGCUGACUUGAGCCAACCAUUAUUUUCUCCUCUCCAUGUCAGCGGGGAAGCCAUACAUUCGCACACCUUUC